ensembl:snRNA U6 U6 spliceosomal RNA
GUGGUUACUUUGGUAGCACAUACACUAAAAUUGGAACACUAUAGAGAAGAUUAGCAUGGCCCUUGGUGCAAGGAUGACAUGCACAUUUGUGAAGCAUCCCAUAUUUAA